GCGGCGAGUGAAGCGGCAAGAGCUCAGAUUUGAAAUCGUGUUUCGGCACGAGUUGUAGAGUGUAGGCGGGAGUCUCUGUGGAGCGCGGUGUCCAAGUCCCUUGGAACAGGGUGCCUGAGAGGGUGAGAGCCCCGUAGGGUGCUGCGCGAAGCUUUUGAGGCCCUGCUGACGAGUCGAGUUGUUUGGGAAUGCAGCUCCAAGCGGGUGGUAAAUUCCAUCUAAGGCUAAAUAUUGGCGAGAGACCGAUAGCGAACAAGUACUGUGAAGGAAAGAUGAAAAGCACUUUGAAAAGAGAGUGAAACAGCACGUGAAAUUGUUGAAAGGGAAGGGUAUUGGGCUCGACAUGGGGGGUGCGCACCGCUGUCUCUUGUAGGCGGCGCUCUGGGCGCCCUCUGGGCCAGCAUCGGUUCCUGCUGCGGGAGAAGGGGCUCCGGAAAGUGGCUCUUCGGAGUGUUAUAGCCGGGGCCAGAUGCCGCGUGUGGGGACCGAGGACUGCGGCUUCUGUCU
rnacentral:rRNA from 1 species